GUCAACAGAGAUAAUUCACAACUUAAAUGAACUCUGCGAAUUACCCACAAAGUAAAAGUCCCACCUCAUCAGGAAAUGGUAAGAAGACAUGGGACUGACUUUUUGGAGUAAAGUAGUGUUACACCUGCCUCCGCAUCUCAGUGGGUAUCUGGUACUAGGUAUGCUGUGUGGCUGAUGGUGGAAUCCUUUCCAAUCUUGUCCAUCUGUCCUGAGGAUGAGUCUCACAAAAAUAUCCCUGAGUAUGCACGGAUGUAAACCUUGAGACCUUGAGCUGUGGCACUGGACCCAAGACCACUUAUCUCAUGUAACCAUGGCAGAUGACAGCACGAAGAGAGAAUGGCUUGCUCCCUGGAACGGUAUACCUUCCUCUCAAACCAAUGUUGGUGGGCGUGUCUCAGUCACUGCUGCAGACAGGCGCUGUUGAACUACAUGAGGCAUGCCGUAGACCAGUGACUGUAACAACAGUAACACAAAGAUUGUUCACCAACCUACAUAACUCGAAGCUUACUCCAUAAUUUUUGAGAUGUAAGCAGUCGGCUAUCAUUGUCUGAGGUUCAGAGAAGAGACCAACAUGCUUUGCCAGGAAGAAGCGAGUCAGUCCUCACACCCACAUCUACGGACUCCACGGUCAGCAGUUGCUGACUCAUUCCAUGCUAUGCUGUGGGGCUCAGGGAAGAGUGAUUGGUUUUGACUGCCCGAAUGAGGGCAAUUGUCCAAGGGUGUAUUUGUGUAUUCGUCUUGAGAGUUUGAUUUCUGGAGAGUGAGCAGAGGACCAUUCUUGUCCACCCAUUUCCCGAGAUCCUUCCUCCACCCAGUCAAAGGCCUCUUCUGAUGC
rnacentral:lncRNA from 1 species